UGGCUCAGGACGAACGCUGGCGGCGUGCCUAAUACAUGCAAGUCGAACGAACUCUGGUAUUGAUUGGUGCUUGCAUCAUGAUUUACAUUUGAGUGAGUGGCGAACUGGUGAGUAACACGUGGGAAACCUGCCCAGAAGCGGGGGAUAACACCUGGAAACAGAUGCUAAUACCGCAUAACAACUUGGACCGCAUGGUCCGAGUUUGAAAGAUGGCUUCGGCUAUCACUUUUGGAUGGUCCCGCGGCGUAUUAGCUAGAUGGUGGGGUAACGGCUCACCAUGGCAAUGAUACGUAGCCGACCUGAGAGGGUAAUCGGCCACAUUGGGACUGAGACACGGCCCAAACUCCUACGGGAGGCAGCAGUAGGGAAUCUUCCACAAUGGACGAAAGUCUGAUGGAGCAACGCCGCGUGAGUGAAGAAGGGUUUCGGCUCGUAAAACUCUGUUGUUAAAGAAGAACAUAUCUGAGAGUAACUGUUCAGGUAUUGACGGUAUUUAACCAGAAAGCCACGGCUAACUACGUGCCAGCAGCCGCGGUAAUACGUAGGUGGCAAGCGUUGUCCGGAUUUAUUGGGCGUAAAGCGAGCGCAGGCGGUUUUUUAAGUCUGAUGUGAAAGCCUUCGGCUCAACCGAAGAAGUGCAUCGGAAACUGGGAAACUUGAGUGCAGAAGAGGACAGUGGAACUCCAUGUGUAGCGGUGAAAUGCGUAGAUAUAUGGAAGAACACCAGUGGCGAAGGCGGCUGUCUGGUCUGUAACUGACGCUGAGGCUCGAAAGUAUGGGUAGCAAACAGGAUUAGAUACCCUGGUAGUCCAUACCGUAAACGAUGAAUGCUAAGUGUUGGAGGGUUUCCGCCCUUCAGUGCUGCAGCUAACGCAUUAAGCAUUCCGCCUGGGGAGUACGGCCGCAAGGCUGAAACUCAAAGGAAUUGACGGGGGCCCGCACAAGCGGUGGAGCAUGUGGUUUAAUUCGAAGCUACGCGAAGAACCUUACCAGGUCUUGACAUACUAUGCAAAUCUAAGAGAUUAGACGUUCCCUUCGGGGACAUGGAUACAGGUGGUGCAUGGUUGUCGUCAGCUCGUGUCGUGAGAUGUUGGGUUAAGUCCCGCAACGAGCGCAACCCUUAUUAUCAGUUGCCAGCAUUAAGUUGGGCACUCUGGUGAGACUGCCGGUGACAAACCGGAGGAAGGUGGGGAUGACGUCAAAUCAUCAUGCCCCUUAUGACCUGGGCUACACACGUGCUACAAUGGAUGGUACAACGAGUUGCGAACUCGCGAGAGUAAGCUAAUCUCUUAAAGCCAUUCUCAGUUCGGAUUGUAGGCUGCAACUCGCCUACAUGAAGUCGGAAUCGCUAGUAAUCGCGGAUCAGCAUGCCGCGGUGAAUACGUUCCCGGGCCUUGUACACACCGCCCGUCACACCAUGAGAGUUUGUAACACCCAAAGUCGGUGGGGUAACCUUUUAG
rnacentral:rRNA from 1 species